GGGUUGUGAGGUUAAGCGACUAAGCGUACACGGUGGAUGCCCUGGCAGUCAGAGGCGAUGAAGGACGUGCUAAUCUGCGAAAAGCGUCGGUAAGGUGAUAUGAACCGUUAUAACCGGCGAUGUCCGAAUGGGGAAACCCAGUGUGAUUCGUCACACUAUCGUUAACUGAAUACAUAGGUUAACGAGGCGAACCGGGGGAACU
rnacentral:rRNA from 1 species